UACGAAGGGGGCUAGCGUUGCUCGGAAUCACUGGGCGUAAAGGGCGCGUAGGCGGCUCUGCACGUCCGUUGUGAAAUCGCCCGGCUCAACUGGGCGGGGUCAGCGGAUACGGCGGAGCUCGAGCAAGCUAGGGGGCAAUGGAAUUCCCGGUGUAGUGGUGAAAUGCGUAGAGAUCGGGAGGAACACCAGUGGCGAAGGCGGCCCCCUGGGCCACGCCUGACGCUGAGACGCGAAAGCGCGGGGAGCGAACAGG
rnacentral:rRNA from 1 species